rnacentral:lncRNA from 1 species
UUGAAAAGAGUUUCAAUAAUACUUUGAAAGAAAUCAUUGUAUAUCUCACUAUUACAUAGAAUUGAACCUAUGGGGUCACACAAUAAAGAGAUUUGGUCUGAAAUUAGUAAUUGAGUUUAUGAAGUAUCAAUUGGGUUUAGAGAAAUCUGAUUGAGUUCAAAGUAACCUUGCUAUCACAUGAUUGGACCCAAUUCCUCUUUUCGUUGAGAUUUUUUAUUUGAUAAGAUAAUUCAAAAUUAAUUAUCUACUAAUAACUUACAUGAAUAAGAUUC